rnacentral:rRNA from 1 species
UACGUAGGGUGCGAGCGUUGUCCGGAAUUAUUGGGCGUAAAGAGCUUGUAGGCGGUUUGUCGCGUCUGCUGUGAAAAUCCGGGGCUCAACCCCGGACUUGCAGUGGGUACGGGCAGACUAGAGUGUGGUAGGGGAGACUGGAAUUCCUGGUGUAGCGGUGGAAUGCGCAGAUAAUCAGGAGGAACACCGAUGGCGAAGGCAGGUCUCUGGGCCACUACUGACGCUGAGAAGCGAAAGCAUGGGGAGCGAACAGG